rnacentral:snRNA from 1 species
AUCCUUGCGCAGUGAAAAUUUCAUAGUCUAUGAAGGUUUGUUGAGACACGACUAUUGCUGGUUGAAGACUUUACCCAAUACCCCGCCUGGAUGACUUGAAAUACGGUCAGCUGUGGCAAUUUUUAAGAGUCUUUCAGGAGA